rnacentral:rRNA from 1 species
AUGCCUAAGGAUCAAACAAUGUCUCUCUCACUUUUGUUUUUGGAAAGACCUACAUAUCAUCUUGCCGCUGCUGCGUUAGAGUGGCUCCAUCUGCAGAUGGGGGAGGUCUCGACCUGCAGCUCGGAGAAGUCUCGACCCGCACCUGGUCGCGUGCGCCACUGCCACUUAGGUCCACCACCUACAGCAGGCGCCGCAGCGCCUCAACCAUUAAACUAUGACACCUCAGUAGUUCAAUGUAUAUUGGAGAAGAAGAAAAAACAACAGUAG